rnacentral:lncRNA from 1 species
UUGAUCCUGACGGUGAAUAACCCGGUGCAUACGACGGAGGAGCUGGCGGAGAAGUCACCGGAGAAGUUGCCGGAGAAACAGGGGAAGAUGAUUUAGGUGACAUUGAUCCCGGCGGUGAAGAACCCGGUGCAUACGACGGAGGAGCUGGCGGAGAAGUUGCCGGAGAACCAGCGGAGGAAGAUUUAGGUGGCAUUGAACCCGGCGGAGAAGUCACCGGAGAAGACGACGGAGAACCAGGGGAAGAUGAUUUAGGUGACAUUGAUCCCGGCGGAGAAGAUGACGGAGAACCAGGGAAUGAGGAUUUAGGUGGCAUUGAUCCCGGCGGAGAAGUCAUCGGAGCAGAGGACGGAGAACCAGGGGAAGAGGAUUUAGGUGGCAUAGGUGCGGGUGGAGAAGUCGACGGAGACAUAUGAGAGGAAGAUUUAGGUGCCAUUGAACCUGGUGGAGAAGUUGCCGGAGACUUAGCGGAGGAUGAUUUAGGUGGCAUUGAUCCCGGCGGAGAAGUCACUGGAGAAGAAGACGGAGAAACAGGGGAAGAUGAUUUAGGUGGUGUAUGUGCCGGUGGAGACGUCGCCGGAGAAACAGGGGAUGAAGAUGAUUUAGGUGGCAUUGUUCCCGGUGGAGAAGUCACCGGAGAAACAGGGGAAGUAGAUUUAGGUGGCAUAGGUGCCGGUGGAGAAGUCGCCGGAGAAACAUGGGAAGAAGACUUAGGUGGCAUUGAUCCCGGCGGAGAAGUCACCGGAGCAGAAGACGGAGAAACAGGGGAAGAAGAUUUAGGUGGCGUAGGUGCGGGUGGAGAAGUCGCCGGAGAAACAGGGGAAGAGGAUUUAGGUGGUGUGUGUGCGGGUGGAGAAGUGGCCGGAGAAACAUGGGAAGAAGACUUAGGUGGAAUUGAUCCCGGAGGAGAUUUUCCCGGUGAUGCUGCUUGAGGAGGAGCCGGAGUUCUAACGGACAAGACAACGACAGUAAGCUUUUGUCCCUUCUUACAGUUAUCUUCAUUGCCACUGAUGAAGUAAAAUGGACCAGAGCGUUC